rnacentral:misc_RNA from 1 species
CAAUAAUGUCCACACAACCACUGUUACAAUCAGCUCCAGAGAAUUGCUUUGCCUACCAGGGUUGAACCAAAGGUAUUUUUUGCUAACGA